GUUUCAACUUGAGAGUUUGAUCCUGGCUCAGAACGAACGCUGGCGGCACGCCUAACACAUGCAAGUCGAGCGCUCACUUCGGUGGGAGCGGCGGACGGGUUAGUAACGCGUGGGAACAUACCCUUUACUACGGAAUAGCCUUUGGAAACGAAGAGUAAUACCGUAUACGCCCUACGGGGGAAAGAUUUAUCGGUAAAGGAUUGGCCCGCGUUAGAUUAGAUAGUUGGUGGGGUAACGGCCUACCAAGUCUACGAUCUAUAGCUGGUUUGAGAGGAUGAUCAGCAACACUGGGACUGAGACACGGCCCAGACUCCUACGGGAGGCAGCAGUGGGGAAUCUUAGACAAUGGGGGAAACCCUGAUCUAGCGAUGCCGCGUGUGUGACGAAGGCCUUAGGGUCGUAAAGCACUUUCGCCAGAGAUGAUAAUGACAGUAUCUGGUAAAGAAACCCC
rnacentral:rRNA from 1 species